UACGAAGGGUGCAAGCGUUGUCCGGAAUUAUUGGGCGUAAAGAGCUCGUAGGCGGUCUGUCGCGUCGGCUGUGAAAACCCGGGGCUCAACCCCGGGCCUGCAGUCGAUACGGGCAGACUAGAGUGCGGUAGGGGAGACUGGAAUUCCUGGUGUAGCGGUGAAAUGCGCAGAUAUCAGGAGGAACACCGGUGGCGAAGGCGGGUCUCUGGGCCGUAACUGACGCUGAGGAGCGAAAGCGUGGGGAGCGAACAGG
rnacentral:rRNA from 1 species